UGAAUGUGCCCGAUCUUGUCUGAUCUCAGAAGCUAAGCA
rnacentral:rRNA from 1 species